AAAACCAAAAAUGGGCAGUCGACGAGAGACCUUCGGGUCUCUAGUGGCGAACGGGUGAGUAACACGUAGGGAACCUGCCCGCGCACCGGGAAUACGCUCUGGAAACGGAGAACAAAUCCCGAUGUACAGGAAGGAGGCAUCUUCUUUCUGUGAAACAUCCUUUCGGGGAUGGGGCGCGGAUGGACCUGCGGUGCAUUAGUUGGUUGGCGGGGUAAAGGCCCACCAAGACGAUGAUGCAUAGCCGGCCUGAGAGGGCGGACGGCCACAUUGGGACUGAGACACGGCCCAGACUCCUGCGGGAGGCAGCAGUAGGGAAUUUUCGUCAAUGGGCGCAAGCCUGAACGAGCGAUGCCGCGUGAGUGAAGAAGGCCUUCGGGUCGUAAAGCUCUGUUGCGGGGGAAAAAAGGCAGCAUCAGGAAAUGGGUGCUGACUGAUGGUGCCCCGCCAGAAAGUCACGGCUAACUACGUGCCAGCAGCCGCGGUAAUACGUAGGUGGCGAGCGUUAUCCGGAAUGAUUGGGCGUANAGGGUGCGCAGGCGGUCCUGCAAGUCUGGAGUGAAACGCAUGAGCUCAACUCAUGCAUGGCUUUGGAAACUGGAGGACUGGAGAGCAAGAGAGGGCGGUGGAACUCCCUGUGUAGCGGUAAAAUGCGUAAAUAUAUGGACGAACCCUAGUUGGGAAUAGUGCCACCCUGUUUUGUUGUCCAUGUUGAUGCACCACAGCCCGUGAAAUAAUCACGUUUAACAUCCC
rnacentral:rRNA from 1 species